CUACCACCCACCGCCUGUCACGUUCCGCUCAGCUGCACUGUCCGGAGCACGGCCUCAGACUAACAGAAUAUGGGACACCAUGGAAUUUUACUUGGAGAUUGAUCCCGUAACACUGAACUUGAUAAUACUGGUGGCCAGUUAUGUCAUCCUGCUCCUGGUCUUCCUCGUCUCCUGUGUGCUGUACGACUGCCGGGGAAGAGAUCCCAGCAAGGAAUAUGCUCCCGAAGCGAUCCCCGAGAACAGGUCGCCCAUCCGCCUGGUGGUAAUGCAACAAAGCGCAAACUGGAGCAAGGCCUAUGAGAAUAGCACCAGUCUGCUGGAGAAAAAAAUCACUGUGGUCUGAGCUCAGUGACUUGGUUCUGGGCAGAAUGUCCACGCUCAGCCUGCAGAGGCCUACGUUCUCCAGGUAAACAAAUCCUUGUCUUACGUUCAUCUUCCAGAUUCCUGUCAUUCUGCCAGCUUGUUGCGUGUGUUGAUUCAGCAUGCGAUUGGCACUGCAUUCUUGAUUUGUGUUGUCAUCUUGCGUUCACAUUUAUCUAUCGCUAGAUUCAUCCUAGUUUAAAAAGACCUAAAACUCUUUUUUAUAUAAGUAAUGUGCGGUGUGUAUGAGUGUAUCACAGAGCUCCACAGCAAUAAAACUCACCUUGACAAACACAAAUAAACAGGUUUACAAAAUUAGUUCUAGAAAUAAGGGGCUUUGGUUUGGAUCUAAAUGAUAUUUGAUUUGAAAUCUCUCAGUACUUUUUAGAUACACUUUGCAGUAAUAACCUGAUUUAAUAGAGUCAUCCAAAGAAACACAGUGCACUAUAACCACUGUAAUGAGCUGUGGUGGUUAUGGUGCAAAGAUUACUCCUUUAAGUAUUAUUUGACAGUAAGCAGGGUUUGAUAUAAUGCACAGGAAGUUGGCUGUGUGUCAUGUAAAUGGUAGUUAACCACCGUCAGAGUGUCAGAAGCCUCCCAUCACUGAUUUAAAAUGUAACCACAUGAAUUUAGCUUGGGCUCCCUAGAAACGUGUCGCUACUUCAUGCUGAUACACUUUGCAGGAGGGAAAACGCUUUACCAAUUAACUCACAUUCUUUGAGCAGUUAAUUAAUUCAUUACCACUCACAGCACAUCAUGUCUACCCAAUUGCAGCACUUUUCAUACAAAGCCCACCUACAUGAAAAAAAAACUCUCCUAGACUCCUACCAUGUACAUAGCAGGGUUUCUGGUCCACCUGAACCCUCCUUUCCUUUAAGUGCUGUAGAUAGUUUUCACAUUCAGUAAAGGGGAGAGAAGAAAUUAAAAAUAUUUGUGAAAAUGAAGUAUCUCUCCCAGACUAAUGAACAAUCAUGCAUCCAUUUAAGAAGAAAUAAUGUACAAUUGCAUGUGGCUCAGGCAUUAUAUGGCUGUUUGACAGCAAUGUUAGCAUUUCCUGUUGUGGUUAGUGAGACGGGUACAAGGAGUAAUUGGAUGUGAGGAGGAAAACAGCCUCACAGAUUGCAGAAAGCAUUGCGUAAUUUUUUGUUUAUCAGGCUAAUAACAUCUAGCUAUUAGAAAUGGCCACCUGUAUUCUUAAUGAAAUGAGAUACUGAGCUGAUGGGAUUUUAUCGCUAUGAGUAUAGUUAAAAGGAUACUCCAAGCACCAUGACUACUUCAGUGAUUUAAAGUGGUCAUGGUGUUUGGAGUGUGUAUGUGCAGUGUUAGGCUAUAAAACGCUAGAUGUACAAAGUUUAACCCCUCAGCUGCUGAAGAUCUAACUCUACCUCAGCGUCAUUGGGGUGCCAUCAGUCAGCCCGUAACUAGACUUCUGGGCCUGCGAAUGUCAGUUAGGGGCAACUUCAUUGAACAGAAUUAAAUUUAUUUGUUCAGAGUGUUUAGCUGACCCUCUCAGCCAAAAAAUAUAUAUAUUCCUGGCACCAUAACCACUACAGCGGGCUUAUGGUGGUUAUGGUGAUUGGAGUAACCCUUUCAUGUAUAAUACGAUAAGAACCCGUCACAGUGGUGAUAAAUGACAGAACCCACAGAUAUCUUGCGGUCUCGAAAAUAAUCCAGACUAAAAAUGGAAAAACAGUUCCACCUGUACAGUUUAUAUUUUUAUUAUUUAUAUAGAAUGAAAAUAUCCUGCAGCUCUGUUCAGUAGCUAAUGUGUUACAAAUAUCAGCAGUGUUUAUGGUACUCAGAGUUUAUUUUGACAAUAAUCAUAAACCGCUUCUAUUUCCACUGAAUAUAUUUAUUGCAAAUACCCAUACAAUAUGUAUGUGUACAGUAUAUAUAUUUAUUGAAUUAUUUAUUAAUUAUUCUAGUUAGAGCUAUCGAGUGCAGGGUUUGUGUCAGCUACAUAUGUAUAAAAUGUCUUAUAUGUAUUUUAAUUUGCGGCAGAGUAAUAUUUUACAGAUAUUACAGUUUAGCAUGUGAAUGGAUAUAGAGACAGAUUUAUUUGAAGAGAACAGAGUUCUGUCAUGUAAAAAAAACAUUCUUAAAGUGUGCCUGUCAUGACGUGUUAUACCCUAGUGAAAGGGCAUCAACAUAAUGUUUACUUUGUCCUAGCAAAUUAUUAUUAUUAUUAUUAUUUUAUUAUUUAUAUAGCGCCAACAAAUUCCGUAGCGCUGUACAAUGGGUGGACUAACAGACACAUAAUUGAGAUCAGACCACUGACGUACAGGAACAGAGGGGGUUGAGGGCCCUGCUCGAUGAGCUUACAUGCUAGAGGGAGUGGGGUAUAGUGACACAAAGGGUUAAAGUAGGGGAAUUAAAUAGUUUGUUACAGAAGGGUUUAUUGAGUGCUUGGUAGGUCAUUUUUGACAGGUGAAGGAACGGAGUCAUGGGGUGGGGGAUGAGAAACCUGCUGACAGUUUAAUUGAUACGCUUUAAUAAAGAAGUGAGUUUUCAAAGAUUUUUUGAAGGAAUGGAGGCUGGGUGAAAGUCUGAUUGAGGAGGGAAGGGAAUUCCACAGAAUAGGUGCAGCCCUGGAGAAGUCUUGAAGGCGAGCAUCAGAGGUGGGGAUCCGGGCAGAGGAUAGGAGUAGGUCUUGGGCUGAGCGCAGGGGUCUCGUCGGGACAUACUUGUGUAUGAGGGAAGAUAGGUAUGUUGGAGCAGCAUUAUGUAGGGAUUUGUAAGCAAACGCCAGAAUUUUGAAUUGGGCCCUAUAUCUAACUGGAAGCCAAUGCAUGGACUGACAGAGCGUGGAGGCGUGGGAGGUGCGACCGGACAGGAAAAUAAGCCUCGCAGCCGUAUUCAUUAUAGAUUGCAGCGGUGCAAGCUGGGAACAUGUAAGAGAAAGGGAUUGCAAUAGUCAAGGCGAGAGAGAACAACAGCAUGUACCAGUACCUUAGCAGCGUCCGGCGUUAGAUAUGGGCGGAUGCGCGCUAUGUUCUUGAGUUGGAAGCGACAGGAUUUGGCUAUCGAUUGAACAUGGGGAGUAAAAGAGAGAUCAGAAUCAAAAAUAACUCCUAGGCAGCGAGCCUGGGAGGUAGAGGUGAUAGUAGCGCCGUUGACUUGGAUGGCGACAGACACAGGAGUAGCAGCACUUGAGGGAGGAAAAACUAGAAGUUCUGUUUUGGACAGGUUGAGUUUAAGGAAGUGAGCAGCCAUCCAGUUGGAAAUAGCAGAGAGGCAGUCAGAAACACGAGUCAAGGUGGGCGGAGAGAGAUCAGGGGAGGACAGGUAGAUUUGCGUGUCAUCUGCAUAUAAAUGGUAUUGGACGCCAAAAGAGCUGAUGAGUUUACCAAGGGAGGCAGUAUAGAUAGAGAACAGUAGGGGGCCGAGGACAGAACCUUGGGGGACGCCGACAGGGAGGGGUUGGGGAGAAGAGGCAGAGCCAGAGAAAGAAACACUGAAGGAGCGCUGGGAGAGGUAGGAGGAGCACCAGGAGAGAGCAGAAUCCCGUAGACCAAAGUUACGGAGAAUGUGAAGAAGCUGUUGAUGAUCAACAGUGUCAAAGGCGGCAGAAAGAUCAAGGAGGAUUAGGAUAGAGUAUUGGCCGCGAGAUUUAGCAGCAAUUAAAUCGUUGGAUACUUUGGUCACAGCAGUUUCGACAGAGUGACCAGCGCGGAAUCCAGACUGAAGGGGGUCAAGCAGAGAGUUGGAUUCAAGAAAGUCUGUCAAUCUGGCGUAGACAACUCUCUCGAGGAUCUUGGAGGCAAAUGGCAGUAGCGAGAUAGGGCGGUAGUUGGAUGGGGAGUUGGGAUCGAGGUUGGGCUUUUUCAGAAUUGGGGUUACGGUUGCAUGUUUGAAGGCAGAGGGAAAUGUGCCAGAGGAAAGGGAGAGAUUGAAAAUGUUAGCGAGAGGAAGAGCAAGAGAGGGAGACAAAGUGCGGAUGAGAUGCGAGGGAAUAGGAUCGAGGGAGCAGGUGGUGGGGCGGGAGGACAGUAGUAGCAGAGCAGAAACCUCUUGUGCUGUAGCAGGUGCAAAUGAGCUUAGGAUGACAGGGGGAGUGGGGUUGGGUGAUGUAUUGAUACUGGUCGGAGAAAGAUUAGAGAUCUCUUUCCUGAUUGUAGAGAUCUUCUCAGUGAAAUGAGAUGCAAAGUUUGUGGCGGACAAGGUGGUGGAAGGAGGGGGAGUCACAGGGCGAAGAAGUGCAUCAAAAGUGUGAAACAGGUGUUUGGGUUGGUGGGACAGUGUGCUUAUGAGGGUGUUGAAGUAGCUUACUUUUGCAGAGGAAAGAGCCAUGCUGUAGGAGCGCAGCAUAAAUUUAUAGUGGACAAAGUCAGAUGCAAAGUGAGACUUUCUCCAGCAGCGUUCAGCAGUUCUGGAACAUUUUUGGAGGUAACGGGUCAGCUUGGUGUGCCAGGGUUGUAGUUGGGGGAGCUUGCUGCGUUUAACUGUAGGAGGUGCCAUGAUGUCAAGUUGAGAGGAGAGAGUGGAGUUGUAGAGUGAGGUUGCAGAGUUAGGGCAGUUGUGAUUUGAGAUGGGUAAAAGGAGUGUUUGGAGUUUAGUGGAGAAGUGCUGGAGAUCGAGAGAGUUGAGGUUUCUGCGAGGUUGGAGAGUGGACGAUGGUGAGAUUUUGGUAUGGGGUAUGCAGAUGUUAAAUGUUAGCAGAUGGUGGUCAGACAAAGGAAAUGGAGCAGUGGCGAGAUCAGAGGUAGUACAGAGAUUGGUGAAGAUGAGGUCAAGAGUGUUUCCUGCAGUGUGAGUUGCUGAGGAAGAAAUCUGUGUGAGUCCAAAGGAGGAGGUUACAGAGAGCAGACGAGAGGCAUCAGGGCAAUUGAGCUUGUUGAUAGGGAUAUUGAAGUCCCCAAGUAUGAGAGAGGGAGUGCUAGAGGAAAGAAAGUGGGGUAACCAGGAGGAAAAGUGUUCAAUGAAUAGUUUAGGGUGACCGGGGGGGCGAUAGAUGACGGCAAUUCUUAAAGGAGUGGGCUUAAAGAGGCGUACAGUGUGAACUUCAAAGGAAGUAAAGGAUAGGGCAGGGGCAGGGAGGAUAGGUUGAAAGGUACAUUGAGGGGAGAGAAGGAUGCCGACACCACCUCCUUUACAGUCAAGUCUAGGAGUAUGGGAGAACUGUAGACCACCGAAACAUAAAGAAGCAGGAGUAGCGGUAUCGGAUGGAGAUAGCCAGGUCUCAAUGAGUGCCAGUAUUGUGAGAGAGUUAGAGAUGAGGAGGUCAUGUUUUGCUGUAGAUUUGAUAUUACUACAAAUGGAGCGAGCAUUCCAGAGUGCACACUGAAUUUUGGUAGAGGAGGAUAGACUGCAUGGUAUUUGGAGGAGGUUUGCAUGGUUUCUGGUUAUUUUAGUGUGAGCAGAUGAGGUGAGGGGCCCCGGGUUGGGAGAGACGUCACCAGCUGCCAGAAGUAGGAGGAGAGAUAGAGACAGGAGGUGUGAGUGGGUUUUAUAUGGGCGGCGACUAGGGUGAGAUUGGGUUAGAGCAGGAGAGAGAGAAUAGAGAAAUGAGUGCAGGGCUUGAGAUGAGAGAAGGGGGGAGUGUAGCAGAGAGGGAUUAAUGUAAAUGUUAGUGUUUUGUUGAGGGAAGUGGGUGGAAGGGGAUAUUUUGAUCCUUAGGGAGAUGAGAGAGAAGGAGAGGAGGAGAAUAUAGAGCAUUGCUCUGAUAGGUAGGUAAUUAGAGGGAAGGAGAAUGAGCAUAAGGGAGGAGAGGGAGUGAGUGUUAGGGGUUAAGAAGGUGGAUUGUGCUCAUUAUGGGUAGUGUUUGCAGCUGCUAUUUGGAAUUAACUAAAGUUGUGUGUGGGAUUCUAUCUAUAAAUGUAGUAAGGAACUUUGGGUGGGGUGGUGAGGGGAGGCGUGGGCGGGAAUCUGAGCACUGUUCAGGUUUGCUAGAAGUGGUCUUUUAAAACUCAGACUUGCAGAAACUCAUGUACACAUUCCCUUACAAAUCAAUUUCAUCAUUGUGAUAAAUAAUAUAUUCUUUGUUUAAGGGCCUUUUAUCUAUUAAAGAGAAACUGUCAUAACGCUUUCGAAGAGCGCUCUAAGUUCGAAAUAACCUAAUCUUGAAUAUAAAAUACAGAUAAUACAUUUAACAAUCUAUGCAAAAAAAAAACAUAAACAAAUAAUACAAUUUAAAAAUAAAAAACAAACAAACGCUUGCAUUUGAAGUUGCAUGAAAUCCCCACGCACUUCAAAACGUAAUUCUUUUUUAAAGGGACACUAUAGUAACCAGAACAACUACAGCUUAUUGAAUUUGUUCUGGUGAGUAGAAUCAUUACCUUCAGGCUUUUUGCUGUAAACAGAUCCUUCCUGGGUCAUGGCUGCCUAAAAUACAUCCAAACAUUCAGUGUCUCCACCCUCUGCAUGCAGACACUGAACUUUCCUCAUAGAGAUUCAUUGAUUCAAUUCAUCUCGAUAAGGAGAUGCUGAUUGAAAUGAGCGCACCUGUCACUUCCGAUGGCUCCAUGGAGCUAACAUAAUUGGGAAGGUAACCUCCAUGGCUGUCUGAUUUUUAUUAAAGAGCUGUGACCUUCAUGGGGCAUCACUAUCCAUACAGUGUGAGUAAAGUAUAUAUUUUGCAGGGAAGUUUGACAGGUAGUCCUGUAAGUGCAGAUAGGAGCCAUUUAAGGAUAAAGAGAUUACACAAACCAUUCUUUACUAACAACUUUGCGUGAUGCGGGCAGAUCUCAGCUUGUUUUAAAUUAAAGGCAAGGUUUAUACAGGACUUAAAAACCUCAUGUUUCCUUUACAAUGGAAACCAAUCUAUGUGUGUUUUUGUUUAGAUCAAACAAUCAUCUCAAUUAGUAGUUAAUUAUACAUCGGCAGACACCAAACAUAGAGUGCGUUUAAUGCAGACGGAGAACAUAACUAUGAUUAUGAUUGCAUCAUCACUGUUUCCAAAGAAGAUUUAUGAUCUUCACUUUCUGUAAUUACCAGCUACCUAUUGUGUGUUUAGAUCAUCCUGCAUUGUUCUUCAAGCCUCAACACAGGCUGUGGUAUCCAAAUCUGCUAGGGGUGGCUACCACUUCUGCCCAAAUACGAUGACUUCAUGAGAAUGUCCAGGCCUGAAUCUGUGAAUGAAACUGUUUUUUUUAUGGGGUGGAUGGUGAAACAGAACAUUUGUCUCAGUAAAAUAAAGUAAAAAAUAAAAUAUAUGGUUUUCCAAUUCCAAAAUCUGUCGGUUGUGUCCCUUUCUUGGGUGAUGGGGCCAGAGGUAUUGAGGUGACGGGGCCAGAGGUAUUGAGGUGAUGAAAUCAGAGGUAUUGAGGUGAUGGGGCCAGAGUUAUUGAGGUGAUGAGAUCAGAGGUAUUGAGGUGAUGGGGCCAGAGGUAUUGAGGUGAUGGGAUCAGAGGUAUUGAGGUGAUGGGGCCAGAAGUAUUGAGGUGAUAGGGCCAGAAGUAUUGAGGUGAUGAGAUUAGAGGUAUUGAUGUGAUGGGGCCAGAGGUAUUGAGGUGAUGGGGUCAGAGGUAUUGACUUUGAGAUAGUUGUACACGGAUGGAAUGUACGUGAGACCUUGAUGUAAAUGCUCACAUGUUUACCUUCCCAUUCUUGUCACUAAUGUCACAAACAGAGGCGUCAGAAUGACCUUAUAAAGGGCCUGAUAACCUGAGCUGGUAAAAUAAUUACUGGUGCACUACGCAAGUUAUGUUUCCAAUAUUCAUGUGGACUACUGUGUUGAAGAAUAAUCCCAUUAUUUGUGAAUUACUGCCAGACUAUGUAUCCUCUUCACUUUCUGGUUAAUUCCCCACUAAAUUAAGUUGCUUUUUGUAGGUAUGGAUUCUGAACACCACUCUAGCUUCCUGGGUUUCUGUUUAUGUGGCCCACUGUCAGGUGCCAAAACUGUUACACUGUCACACAAAAUGGUGCAAUCAAAAAGGGGAGCAGAGUUAAUGUGCUUGCCAUCCUGAUGACCACAGUAGCAAUAUUAACAGUGGUGGUUAUAUCCGUUCCCACAGCAUUCUUGUGGCUUUUGUCACUGCAAUGACACAGCAAUGUAUGUGUCAACACUAUACUUCAGGGCGAAUGUGUACACUGGUGUGAUGUACAUCCAAGUCUGGGUACAGUUGGGUAUGUCAAAAGAUCCCUGGGCUGCGAGAAUAUUUUACGAAACGUUGCAAAAUUUCCUGUGUUGGCUAUUCACAGUGCCCUGGAAACGCCAUCCGAACUCCACCGGAGAGUCCCAGAACCUGCACAAAACUGCUGCAUGUCUUUUUACACAAAGACCAGUCUGUCCAUUUCCCUUUCUGUUGUUUCUGAUCAACAGAAAUCUCAAACACCUGCUUACUUCUGGGACUAUGUGACUUUGCAGCCUGUGAUGACUUUCAGAACUCAUCUCGAGACCAUGUUGCGUGCUCCUAUUUGCAGAACUGUGAAAUGCACAGCUAUAAGUAUCUAAAUAGUCUUGAAGGACAACUUAAAGGUUGACUGGGUGACCUUCUAGCAAGACUGUGGACAUGAACUAUGCUAUAAAUGGCAACUGGGGAAAUUUAAUUAAUUGAUUGGAUGAGACUGUAGACCUGAAAUGUUCUCAAAAUGGCAACUGGGGACAUUCCUGUGAUUGAUUAGGUGACCCUCCAGUGAGAUAUCAGACUUUAUGUCUACACUGUCCCAACCAUGGCAACUGGAGAUGAUCCAAAGGUUGACUGGGUUAAACAUCUAAUGAGAAAUCAGACCUACCACCUGGUCUGUCCACGACAAAUAAUGUUUAUUGUGCAAUGUUAGUUUUGUUUUUCCAAAACAUGAUUGCACGGUCAAGGAUAUAUUUAACCCAACGAGGUGACGUAAUUGUGAAACUGAAUAUAUACCUUCAUUUAUAGAACAUUAAUCUAAACAAUUUCCUCCCUUUAUCUAAAUACAAUGCUUUACCAGAAAGGCGGCUCAUUCUGAGAACAGAAACAACAAGUAUAGACAUGUAAGAUAUACUUGAAACAAGCCAUUAUAUAAAAGAAUGAAAAAAAAAACACCGCCGUGAAACAUAAUUGUAAAAUGUGUUACAUAGCCUAACCUCCACUGGCUUUUUGGUGAUUUCGAAUUUUGUCUUAGUGCUCAGUAUUACAUGGUAUAUCAGUUCAAAUAUACUACUGACCCUUAAAUCCAAGGUACAGAAUUCUACUUAAAAUGUUUUGCGAAGGAUUUAUCUAACUCCACAAUCUCUACACACCGUGUUCACUCAACAAUCCACCUCCAUUACUGAUAGCACUUUGGUCAAAGUAUCCUUCUGUAUAUCUUUAGUAAAUCUUCUACGUAACAAAAUCUAGUUUGAUCCACCCACUGAAUGCUAUGACUUCAUUAUUAUUGAUCUUCUGGAAACAAAAGAAUUUGACAUUGUUUUAGGCUAAAUGGUUGACCCUAGGGCUGCUGAGGAAAUUAAAUGCUAUUACCAGAGAGGAUUUUGUUGUACCACACUAUCUUCAAAGCUUUGCCCUAUUCUGGAGGUCCAUGUUUCCUGUCUGCUCCACUACAAUAACUGCUGUCCUAUAUUCAAUUAUGAGGUGUUGUGUGCCCUCUUAGGAAUGAUUUCCUUUGAAUAGGUGAAUAUCAUGCUCCACAAGACCUACAAUAUCUAAUGUAUGUAUCACCCAAGGGUAAUGACUUUCCACCCUCUACAUAAUGCUGGACGGCAACUCUUUCAUUUAUAGGCAUCCAUUCUGGACAAGAACGAUGGGUAUAGCAGGUAGCAUCGUAAUUAUUGGACUUAUAGGAGGUAUAAUUCAGUCCUCACACUUCCAGAAAUGUUCAUAUAUAGGACCCACCAACUUUUCAUUACAUCUCUAAUUGUUAGUACAUGAAAGUGUUUAGCCAACUCAUUUUUCUGUUGAAGGCUUAGCUAUGAGGAAGUAAACAACUGAAAAUAAGGUCACACACAAUGGAAAAAAAUAGCAAAUAUGAGUAGGCUGCUUCACGUAGGGGAGCGUCUAACAGGUAGAAAAAAAAUCAAAUCACCAGAGUAUCUAAACACUCCUAGGGACUAAUCCAGAUAUAUAAUAUCACUGUAAAAUAUAUAGAAUACAAGUGGCUUGCUAGCAGUGAAAUCACUGAAACAUGGCAUCGUGUAUAAAAAAAGGAAAAUGAAUAAGUAUAUAAAUAUUUACUGUACAGGUCAAUUAAUAACAGAGCACAAUUUGAUUAUAUCGUAAGUAAAAAAUGAAAUAUAAAUAAAUAGAAUCUCUCAAAUCACAAUGCCAUUGGACAAGUAGAAUCCGAUAGAUUACAAAACAACCAUCAGCUAAAAAGUAUCAGAUGAGUGUAACAAGGUCUGGCAUAAAUAGUAGCGAUACAUGGGAAGCAGUAAUUACAGUAAAGGUGUUCCAGUGAUAUAUCAUGUUAGAUUGAUAUUGCAGAUAUCCACUAUAUUACAUCAAAUAAGAUAUCUCAUAAGGUACUAAACCAGUGAGAAGGGAUAUGAAAGAGAUAAAUAAAAACAAAUAAAAAAUACACUCAAUAAUACAAAAUAUGCCUGCAGAUAAAAUGAAAUAACAAAACGAAUACUGAACUGUGGGGGCCCUUCCACCGGUCCAAAGAGAUGCUGAAACAAUCCUUCCAGAAGUGCAGCAAUGUCAGUGAUCACAUCAAUCCUCAGCGAGCUCAACCCCCUAUGUGUCCGAUAUUGCCUGGAAUCACAGCGUUAUGUCCGAGUUUUGUAAUGACAGGUCCGCAGUUCGGGAAGCAGACAACACUACUUACCAGGGCCAGAGCGGGGAGCACACAAAGCUGAAAUCUCGGGGUGAGCCGCUGCCGGUAACUCAAAAAAAGGCUGCGGCCGUCUUAUACGAACAGUAUCAUUAUCAGUAAAGGAUAAAAAUAGGACAACAGAGUCAACGCGUUUCGUCUUCUGUGCAGACUUUAUCAAGACUAACAGGACGACCUUAAAUUAGACAAUAAGACUAGCAGUAUUGAUAAAGGCUUCACAGAAGACGAAACGCGUUGACUCUGUUGUUCUACUUUUAGCCUUGUAUUUUGUAUAUUUUACAGUGAUAUUAUAAAUCUGGAUUAGUUCCUAGGAGUGUUCACAUACUCGGGUUAUUAGCUAUGAGGAAGUGCUGUUAUCCACGAAAUGCGUUAGGUGGCUUCAUUUAUUUGUCCUCACCCCUGUUAUCCCUCCCAGCACGUGUUAUCUGAAUAAAGUUUUUCCCUCCUUGAGACAAUUGAUUAAUACAAAUGUUUACAGUUUUCUAUUGACACUUGAGUGUAUCCCGGUACGUAAAUGGGUUUUAGGAAAGCUGCUGCAGAGGUGUUUUGGGAAGUUCAGUUUACUUGAGGGCUGUAAGGGCUCUCAUUGUGUUUGUGGGCAUUUCAUUGAAAUUAUAGAAACCCUAUUGGAGAUAUUUCAUGUUGAAAUUAGGAUGCUGGAAGCAAUUCCUUCUACUUUGUAUCUAAGACACAGUGUAAAGUGUCUUCUCAUUACUCAGAGCACCUCCACAGAGCUGCAGUAGAUUAGCCUUGGGUGGUUUUCCAAAGAGACUUUGUGUAUAGAUGAUGUCCGUUGCCAUGGAUACAGCGAGAACAUACACUAUUAAGAACAAUAUGUGUUUGUGACUGAAAUAAUGCUGGUAUUUAUUCCUCCACUGCCUUUUUCUUAAAAAAAAAAAAAAGUAAUUUUGUGGGGGAAAAAAAUCUUCAACAGUUUUUGACGGUCUGCCCACAGCUUUCCACGGUAACUGCAAGUAACCCCCUUGGUGGGCACUUUAACCCUCUACACAGCACUGUAUCCAAAAAAGAAAGAACGGAUAUUCUGAGCUGGAAUUUUACAAACACGAUUGGUGUGAAACAAAUUCCAAAUUGCAAUAUUUUAGACAUAGCUAGACUAUUGUAGCCUGUAAUUUGCAUUUCUGAUUUUAAUUUGCAAACAUUUUGAAUAAGCCCUAUUGUUUUUGAAUGGGUUUGCGAAUGGCGUGUCAGAUAAGGCUUCUGGAAUCUAAUCCUGAAAAAGAAUUGCCGCCUGUUGAAGGUACACUUUAAAGCAUGUAUCAGGUGACGGUUGACGAUAUCAGCUCUUGUUGUGUACUGUGAUUAAAAGGUGACAACACAUAGAUUCUAUUAACACGUUGAAUGUCGUUAUUAGGACAAUAACUGGAUUCUUGCUCUAAGAUGAUGGUGAAUGAAUCUGGUGAAAGAAGACUUCUAGUAACGGCAGGUAGGAAGGGAUAGCUGUGAGAUAUCUGCUGGAUUGAUCCCAUUUGAAUUGUUUGGGCCACUGACUUUUUUAUUGCAGUUCCACACAUGACCACUUGAAACAUAUUCGUAUAGACCUGUAUCCAAAAAUUUCCACCUUGACUGCACUAGGUCUGUGCUCUGUGACCUAAAGGCACAUCGAGACUGUUAAUGACUUUAGUUUACAAAUUGUUCUGUGCUAAUAAUGCUCGUAGGUUAUAGGGCAACUAUAGGAAUCUGUUGGCCAUUGGCCACUGGUGUAUUUAGUUGGCUGCCCUUGGCAAUCUGACCUUACGUUUGCUAAAACCUGGAGUGACAAGAUACAAAAAGGGCUGCCUAUAUUAAACACAACAAAUCAUAUAUAAACCUACUGUUUGCCAUCGUAUCGUAGUAAAUUUAGCUGUUCGUAAACAAUUAUUUUCCUGACAGCAUCGUCCAAUAUUUUUAUCGUUUUAAUGUGCUACGGUCAUUUUAUUAAGCUGCAGGGCCUGGUAUUAAAUGGAAACCUUGAAGUAAAUGAUAAUUACAAGGCCUCUGGCACUGAGAGAAAUCUACGCCUGACUUAAUUAAUCCGACUUUAUUUCACCUUAAUAUUGCGCCGUGAGUACGCACAUACCUUGGGGUUUUGCCAGCAAUAUAAUUACUACAUCUCAGGCGAAUCUGAGGCUUGCUGCGCACUAGCUGACCCAGCUGAAACUGACCCGUUUAAAAUUAGGUUUUAAGGCCCUUAAUCUGACAUUUUAAUUGGCACGUACUGUGAGCCAGGCUUGGAGAGAGAGGGCGACGCUGGUCUUCUGUUAGAAUAAAAGCCUUUCUCUACUUGUUGGUUUGUUUUAUAAGGGAAUAAAAGAUCACUUUGUCUUAAAAAGUUCUCAUCUCGUCAACCUGUGAACACUGAGCUCAAUAAAUGCCACUGGAUUUCUGUAACACACCACCGCACCAAACUGCAUCGCAGUAAUGUCAAGGCUUAUUAAAAAAAGGAAAUAUUGUGGAAAAAGAUUAAUUUAACUGGGAAAAGCUUGUGGUUUGGGGUUUUUCUUGCUAAGAUGCGUCUUCCUCCAGUAGACAAUUGAAAUGGCCUUUUCUUUUAAAAGUUCUCUGUCCCCACCAGCCAUCAUGUGAUUGUAAACUAGCAAUGGGGCACAGGUUAAAGAGCAGGUAAUUUGCACCGAAAAAAAAAAGACCGGACAACUUGUUAUGAAUAAUACAUUGUUCAGGUCAUGUUUUCAGGAGAUACAACCAUUGAGAGCUAUUUGCAUGUAAUGCUUUUACUAAGGAAUACACGAAUGAGAGCGAUAGUAUACCUGCUUUAAAGGAACCCUAUGGUAUCAAGUGUCAGGAAUAUAAAUGUGCAUUCCUGAAAAUAUAGUUAGAAAGGCACUGUUUUGACCCCCAUGCCCCACUCUUCUUACUUUUAAAAGCAGUUUAAACUCACCAUUUUUUCCAGUUCCGUUCUCACCAUAGCUGUCCCCAGCCCUUUAUGCCUCCAUGGCUGAGAUAGUCAAACUUGAUGAUCUCAGCCAAUCCAAUGCUUUCCCAUAGGAAAGCAACGGGAGGCUAUUGUGCAUGCGUGGCAAAACACCACACUGCGCCAAUCAGCAUCUCCUCAUAGAGGUGCAUUGAAUCAAUCCAUUUCUAUGAGGAAUGUUCAGCAUCUCCAUGCAGAAUGUGCGACACUGACUCAGGAACACCUCUAGUGGCUAUAUGAGUGACUACCACUAGAGGUGUCACAAGGCAGCAAUGUAAGCACUGCCUUUACUAUACACUAUACUGUACACACCAGAACAACUACAUUAAAGUGUAUUGGUUCUGGUGAGGAUAGUGUCCCUUUACCCCUUAAGGACCAAACUUCUGGAAUAAAAGGGAAUCAUGACAUGUCACACAUGUCAUGUGUCCUUAAGGGGUUAAGUAAGGAUGAGUACGAGAUGUAAUGUAAAUUGAUACAUUGAUGAUAUAUGCUUUGAAAAGUCUGCAAACGCAACCUGGACAAAACUGGUACAGACAGUGUGUAACCAGGGCAAUCUUUCCCCAUGGACACGCUAGGCAGGCCUGGGAUCCCCACAGACAUGGGGGCCCCACCGCCCUGCCCAGCAUGACCAAGCCAACAGGGGAGAUUCUUUGAUUUCCUCGGCAGGCCCAUGGAAAGCCGGCCCUGUUUUCUGGCCGUGGGCCCUCUCAGGCCAGUGAGGAGAUCAGAGAGAUAGUACCCCACCCACGGGACCUCUCAAACACACACACAACACUCCUCACACACACAGCACCUCUCAGACACACACACACAGCACCUCUCACACACACACAUACACUGCACGCCUCAAUGCAGUAUGUGUGUGUGUGUGUGUAAUCAGCAGUCUGUAUGUAUUUAGCAAUCUGUAAAUAUUUAGCAGUCUGUGUGUUUGUGUGUAUUCAGCGGCCUGUGUGUAUGUAUUCAGCAAACUGUAGGUAUGCAUUCAGCAGUCUGUCUGUGUGUACUCAGCAGUCUAUCUGCUCUCAGCAGUCUGUUUGUGUGUACUUAGCAGCAGGGCCACCAUCAGGGCAUGGCAACCAUUACAGAUGUCAUGGGCCGGGUGGUCCAGGGGGCCCGGCCUGCUCUUGCAGUUCCAGGCCCCACAUUCCCCAUGUGCACAUAUAUCUAGCGAUUAUCGCUAGGUAUAUGUGCACUGCGGGCCCCUCACUCUCUCUGUACAGCAGGGGGGCCCAGCACACUCCGGUGUCUUCACUUUCCAGCUCCUCGGUCUCUCUCGCGAACCCCGGUUACUAUAGCAACGCUCCGCGCUGCACAUAGGCAGGUCUCACGAGUUGGAGACCGUCAAUCAGCCGGAAAGACAAGACACCAGAGUGUGCUGAGCCCCCCUGCAGUAUACAGCACCCGCCACCAUGGAAUACAAUCUCCCCCUCCCUGGCCAGGUAACAAGCAGGGAGGGGGGUAUAACAUAAUACGUGUGCAAAUAAAUAUUUUUAAAAACAGCCCAAAAGUGCUUUUUUCCCACAGAAUCAGCCCCUGUUUACACACAAGACAUGCUCACACAAACACACACUCUGCAGUCCCCACACACACUACAUUCACUAUACACACUGCAGUUACUACACACACACUACAUCCACUAUACAAACACACACUUUGCAAUCUCUACACACACUCUACAGUCACUGCACACACUACAUCCACUGCACAAACACACACUCUGCAGUCAGUACACACACUACAUCCACUACACAAACACACACUCUGCAGUCACUACACAUACUCUGCAGUCACUCUAAACAAACUCUACAGUCACUACACACACUCUACAGUCACUACACACAAUCUACAGUCACUACACACACUCUGCAGUCACUAUACACACACACUACAUCCACUACACACACUCUGCAGUCACUAUACACACACUACAACCACUAUACAAACACACACUCUGCAAUCACUACACACACUCUGCAGUCACUACACACACAACAUCCACUACACAAACACCGCAGUCACUACACACUCUGCCGUCACUCUAUCUUAAUGUUAUAAGAUAUCCUUUCACUAUCUUUUUAAAAUCAUUUAUAUUGAAUUUUAUGUUUAAAUCACUUGCCUGUCCUUCCUACUCUCACUUAUAGGCAGCCAUCUUUAUGAAUCUUUCGUCACAUUGUCAGCCAUCUGACUCACUAUUUUGCAACUGUUCAAACUCUAAGCUCUUACGAGCUGCAACAUUCUGUCCAUUAAUUCUGACAAGCAACAGCUGCAGAUUAGUUCACUUUGGGUCAGAUAACAACAUUCUGACCAAAGGUUCAUCAAUAUAAAAAUGUAGGUAAGUGAAACUGUUCAUUUAAUCUUGUCCUUCCCAUACCAAGUGUUUUAGAACCUGAAUUUUAUCAAAGGAAUGUAUUUCGACUUAAUGGGUUUAGUUGUUAAAUUCGAGUAGCAUAAUUUAAAAUAAAUUCUCUAUCUUUUUUUUUUCCUCAGGUGUUUUGGCGUAAAAUAUCAAAUUCCUUUUCCCGAUUUCCAGUUACGCUGACUGUAGUAUCUCUGUUUAUUGCUGGCGAACAUUUGCCAGCAUGACAAUCAACGGACUUUAUCCCUGAUAUGUGGUGUUUUGUCACAAUGUUUACUGAGCGGCAUUAAUACACAGUGUAAUCAGCUCGUAUCGCCUUCUCUUGUAUAUUCAGUGAUAAGCGGACCGCAGGCCUCACUGUGAUAGAAAACUGCGCUUAGGAGGCUACCC